rnacentral:lncRNA from 1 species
AGGAGAUGAAGCAGUGAAGAUCUGCACCCUCACUUGCAUAAAUGUUUUUGCAUCCUCACUUUAAGACUCCACAUUUCUUCCUUUUCCAGAAGGAUUCUCUUUUAUCUUUAAACUAACCGACUAUCAUCCAGGUGAGAUGUCGACCUGACGGCUGAGAGGAUAAAUCAUUGAUAAUAACAGGUCAGAGCUCCUUUACAUCUUAUCUCAGACUGUAUAAUCAACAUUUGGAGGAGGUGACACACACAAUGAUACACAUAGAUGUUGGUCACACACACUCACAGUCAUGUCUUAACACCUGUUGUCUUUUUCUGCUUGUUGUUAGCUCAUGAGGAAGCUAAAAACACAUUCAGCUGCUGAGGUCUGGAUCUGUAUGCAGAGUCUCAGUCUGACAUUUGGCUAAGAGAUAUGCUUGUGCAGCACGACAUUAUGACAACCCUGACAUUUAAGAUCUUAAUGCUGCACACGCUGUUUUGCAUCAUAAUAUGUGUCCCUAAAAUCAUGAAUCUUACUAUCUCCACUGUCUUUCUAAAUACCAACAUUUGACCUCAGCUUUCAGCACAAAUAAUGAGAAUUUAAGGGCUCAUCUGACAAGGAAAUGUCUGAUAAACAGCUGUGUCCUUGUUUCUUUACACCUGCUUUUGAAAGAAAGAUGCUGUGUAUCAACUUACCUGCAAAUACUGAGCAUCCUUUAUUUAUAUUCAAGACCAACCAGCAACCUGUGAGGUGAAUUGAAGCUGCACUGAGGUGCAGAUUAUACGCAGUUCCUUUCCUGUCCACUAGAGGCUGUGUUCUGCAGUGAGCAAGACCCUUUAAAAACCAUAUUAAUAAAAUGUCCAUCUUCACAGGCGAGAUAAACAUGAAUGAUUGUCCCUGACGCUCAUACGGCCCUGACACUCCAGCUGCACAGCUGCCCUGUGUGUUUCCAUCAUGUCCUUUAAAAGGACUGAUGGCACAAGAUCAGUCUGCAGUUUAAACUAACUUGAAUGAAAUGAUGAUAUUUGAGUGAGCAUGCUUUUUGGUAUUACUGUAAAGUUGUUUCAAAGUCUAAUUCAGCUGUUAUGCUGCAAACACACCUUUACCUUCUUAAAUUCACAUCUCAUUAUUUGCAGAUCACAGAUGCCCUGAAAUGAUCUGCACCAUGUUUGCUGUAAUGCAAAGGCCUAAAACUCAGUUCCUAUUUGAAAGCAGAAAGCUGUUCAAAUUCUCAAGGACUUACUGUGUCAGAAAAAUGUGCAGAAACCCUCUCCCUUUUUGAAGAAACUCUGAAAACUUCCCCUUGGCCUCCCUCUAUCCUGAGCACCUGAAAGCUUUCGAUCAUCUGGGUGAGAUAAUCGUUGAUCAUAUCAGGCCGCCACCACCAGCCUCCACCAGCUGAUUUAUUCCCCAUCCAUUAGGAUGGGUUUGGGAGGAGAUGAGGUCUGGGUUCAGAGAGGCAGCAGGUUAGAGGAGACCCAAUGGAGCGAUUAUCUCUCUGAAAGGAGCGAUCGGGUGGUAAUGAGCGAUCAGACAGGCCCAGGAUGGGGAGCCGAGGGGACGCCGCAGAGUUUUAUUACAGACUUCAUCUUAUGUUGCUUUCAGCUGCUUCUCCAUCCUGGUCCAAUCCCUCUUAUCUGCCUCAGUCCAAUAAGACUGCAUUCAGGUAGAGGCAGCUCAG